rnacentral:lncRNA from 1 species
AUUAAAUGAAAUUUCUAAAGUUAACUUAUUACAUUUAUUUACUGUUAAGUAUAAUGUGUUCCAGUUUAUUGCAGAUAGAUUCCUUGUUUUUCCACAGAGACAAUUACAACCCAAGAAACCUACUGAAAUUAUGUUCAGACAACUGAUAUUACUUUUGCUGGUAAUUCUAAUUUGCAUUCAAGCUCAAAACAGAAAGUUUUCAAACAGGGACAAAGAAGAUCUAACAAGCAGCAAAGAUCUUGAUGGAGAAGAUAAAGGAAACCCAAAAGAUCUCAAAGAUAGAGAAUCUACAGAAGGCAGAGAAGAUUUAGAUGACAAAAAAAGCAAAGAUGAUAAAGGAAAUAAAGUUAACUUUGAAAAGAAAAAUAAUGAAAGA